AAUAUAUGUAGCCUAGAGACUAUAGUAGAAAAACUGUAAAAAUAAAAAUAAAUUAACCAAAAUUAAACUUUCUUUCCAGAUGGAGAUUUUGGUAGUCUGGGAUGAAAUGCACAAGGUUUAUGUAAUUGAUUAGUAACUGGAAGGCUGAAAAACAAAUGCUAAACUACAUGAAAGGCGCUCCUGGUGACACUGGCAAUGCAGAUUUGAUGAACACUUUCCCAAAGGGUAGAAGCAACCCACUGCUGCAAAUCAGAAAACCAACUUUGUCCUGGAGGAUCCUCUUAAUUGAGGAGCAUCUCCUGCUGCUGGUUUUCAUGUUAAUGCAUUUCCAGUGUCUCACUUCAAGUGAAAAGUGUCCUGUUCUCUCUGCCCUAGGUCUGUAUGAAUCUUUUCCAAUGAACAAUAUAGCUAUUAUCACUCUUGGAAAGUGUGAAAUUUUGUGAAUGUACCAGAGUAAAUUAUUAUUUUAAAAAAUCAAUUUAGCUACCCUCUGUCUGUUUUACUUGGCUUAAAAAGAAUCAAAUUACCAGUGCCAAGCUCAGCAGUUGGAACUGUCUACCUACAGAAUCAGAUUAAAGAAAUGAGAAAAUGAUAUGCAUUUCCUCCAAAGCAAAUGUUUGCCAUUUGCUCUACAACUUCUAAUGCCUUAUAAUUUAAUAACGUAAUGAGCUAUGAAUCAGCAAAAGUUGCUUUAUUAUUUGACCUUGUUACUAUUUCUGAUCACAUAUUGCCUAGGCUAUGUCAUGUCUUCCUGAUAUUGGCAGUAUAUACCUUUCAUUAUAAGAGACAAUAUUUAGAUCAUUUGAAGGCGUUGCAGACUGGAGAUUCAAAUGGAUUUCUUUUCACCAGGGGCAUUUUCUUGGAACAGUAAUUUCUUGACUACUUCUUGUUGUCUCUGGAUGCCUGCCAUUUAUAGAUUUCAUAGCAUGUUUCAAAAACUGACAGCUUAGUUGUGAAUUACUAAGGAAACUUUGUAAGAAAUACACAACUGAGCAAACCAUGGCUCUUCAUCCAUAUGCAUCAUUGUAAUACCAGCAUAGAGAAUGGAAGGGGCACAUAAUAUAUUAAUACUUUUAAAAAAUGGUAAGCAUAAAUACAAAAAAUUAUGAGAAUAGUAUUAAAAUUCUCAUACGCCCAGUAAUCAGUGUUAAAAAUUAUAAAACUGGGCUGGGUGCAGUGAUUCACACUUGUAAUUCCAGCACUUUGGGAGGCCGAGGUGGGCAGGUCACCUGAGGUCAGGAGUUUGAGACCAGCCUGGCCAACAUGGUGAAACCCUGUCUCCACUAAAAAAUACAAAAACAAAAAAAUUAGCUUGGUGUGGUGAUGGGCGCCUGUAAUCCCAGCUACUCAGGAAGCUGAGGCAGAGAACCAACCACCUGAACUAGGGAGGUGGAGGUUGCAGUGAGCCGAGAUCACGCCACUGCAUUCCAGCCUCGGUGACAGAGCAAGACUUCAUCUCUAAAAACAAAACGAGUUGAAGGAGUUGACCUAACACUAUCCUUCAUCAAUGUGUGAAUGCUAUGUUUGUCACAUCCCAAAUUCUGAGACAUGCUUGGUCUUUCUAUGGGCUCUGAAUUCUGUUGCAUCAAGUCCCUCAUCUGUUCCUUCAUUGCUAUUGACUGCUUUAAUUCUGCAGCUUUUAAAAACAGUUUUUACUUUCUGCUGGAGUAAGUCCCCAAACCUUGUUUAUUCUUUUAAAU
ensembl:lincRNA